rnacentral:rRNA from 1 species
GUAGGUGGCAAGCGUUGUCCGGAAUUAUUGGGCGCAAAGCGCGCGCAGGCGGCUCUUUAAGUCUGAUGUGAAAGCCCACGGCUCAACCGUGGAGGGUCAUUGGAAACUGGAGAACUUGAGUACAGAAGAGGAAAGCGGAAUUCCACGUGUAGCGGUGAAAUGCGUAGAGAUGUGGAGGAACACCAGUGGCGAAGGCGGCUUUCUGGUCUGUAACUGACGCUGAGGCGCGAAAGCGUGGGGGGAGCAAACAGGAUUAGAUACCCUGGUAGUCCACGCCGUAAACGAUGAGUGCUAAGUGUUAGGGGGUUUCCGCCCCCCCCUUAGUGCUGCAGCUAACGCAUUAAGCACUCCGCCUGGGAGUACGGCCGCAAGGCUG